rnacentral:rRNA from 1 species
AUGUCACGCAUGAAGCACCUCCUUCGCAAGCUCCACCUCUCCGGCGCCGGCGCCGGCACCGCCAGCGCCGGCGGGCCCACUGCGGCGACCCCGUCCCCCGACCACCACCGCCCGCGGCAACGGCGCUCCGCCCAGUCGCCCCUGCCGCCGCCGGUCGUGGCCGCCGCGGUUGCCGACCCUCCGCUGCCCGCCCCGGCGGCCGCGGCCCCCGAGGAGCCGACGGGGAUGGGGGCGGAGACGACCAUGACGCGCCUGGAGGAGGAGUACCACAUGCGGCUCGCCCUCGCGAUCUCGGCGUCGGAUCCCGCGGGGCUCGUCGAUCCGGACUCCGUUCAGAUGCGCGCCGCCGAGCGCAUCAGCCUGGGUGGCCCGGCCGCCGCGCCCGGGGACCGGACCACCAUGGAGGCCCUCUCCGCCCGCUACUGGAACCACAACGUGGUCAACUACGAUGAGAAACUCUCGGAUGGCUUCUACGACGUCUGUGGCGCACCCAUGGAUCCGGGCUUCCAGGUCAAAUUCCCAUCCUUGAGCAGCCUCAGGGCGAUUCCCGUAGGGCGAGAUGUUGCUUAUGUCGUCAUUUUGGUGAACCGGGAGCGUGAUCCCAUGUUGAAGCGCCUCGAGGGGAGAGCAAUGGAGAUUGCUGCACAAAGUAGGGCAGAACGCGGUGGAAUUGCGUCAGCUGAGCUUGUACAGAAGAUAGCUAGCCUAGUAGUUGAUGCCAUGGGUGGUGUAGUGGAGGAUGCUGAUGCCAUGAACAGGGAAUGGUCCACAAAGAGCCGCCAGCUCUGUGCUGGGCUAAACAGUAUUGCCCUUCCUCUUGGUUCACUUGGAAUUGGGCUCUCGCGCCACAGAUCUCUGCUUUUUAAGGUACUAGCUGACCGAGUUAAUCUGCCAUGCAAGCUUGUCAAAGGAAUAUGUUAUACUGGAACAGAUGAAGGCGCUAUUAACUUUGUUAAAAUCGACUUUGACAGUGCUGAAUAUAUUGUUGACUUGAUGGGAGCUCCAGGCACCUUAAUACCUUCAGAGAUUUCUGUCAGUCAAUUUCAGGACUCCAACAAUAGUCAACUGAGCAGUGACGCCAUUGAAGAGAGUGUUGCAGAACUAUGCAUAGCUCUUGAGCAGGUUAGCGGUGUAUAUGAGAGUAAAAAUGACAUGGGUGGAAGUUCAUCUGAUCGUAAUUCUGUCCUAGAACUUCCGACUCCACAUUUGGAAGAUACAUGUCACACAGAGAACCCACUUAAACAACGCAUUAUCUCCGACGAAGGCCAAUUUGAUGAAUUCAACAUUAAAGGCGAUAUUUCUCAGCAGAAGAAAGUGAAUGACACUUCCAAGUAUUUAGUUCCUGGAGUAGUGGACCCACAGUUUGCACAAAAUUUGCAUGACUUGCUCCUGGAGGGUGGUGCUUUGCUACCAUCUGGUUUGUUAUCAUGUCAAAAUAGUCAUAAUUCUGGCAAUACAACAGAGAUGGGCAAAUCUUCUCCUGAAGUUAAAGAAAUUCCUGGAUGGUUGCUAGUUGGUCAAACAGGUCAGAUUUCACCAGAACGUUCUGUAGCUGAAGAUUCUUUACCAAAGAUUCCCUUGCCACCUUGUGAAGAUGGACAAUACCCUGUAGAAAAUACAGAAGCAACUAUCGGAAGUUUGGGUACUAUUUCAAUUGAGGGUGAUAGGGUUGCUGAACAUUCUAUGGCAAACAUGUCAGAAAGUAGCAGUGCGAAUUUGGGCAAGUUGAGCUGUUCUAGUACGAAAACAAUCAGCUCUGUUAUGGAUGAUGUUGCUGAAGAUGAAAUAUCAUGGGAAGAUCUUCAUAUAGGAGAGCGCAUUGGUCUAGGUUCAUAUGGGGAAGUUUAUCAUGCAGAUUGGAAUGGCACGGAGGUUGCUGUAAAGAAAUUCCUUGACCAGGAUUUGUCAGGUGUUGCACUGGAGCAAUUCAAAUGUGAAGUGCGAAUCAUGUCAAGGCUAAGACACCCCAAUGUAGUUCUUUUCUUGGGAUAUGUGACGCAACCUCCAAAUCUCUCUAUAUUAACCGAAUACCUUCCAAGAGGGAGCCUAUAUCGCCUAUUGCAUCGGCCAAAUAGCAAAGUUGAUGAAACACGAAGGUUGAAGAUGGCAUUUGAUGUGGCAAAAGGAAUGAAUUACUUGCACACUAGCCAUCCUACUAUUGUACAUCGUGAUUUGAAAUCACCAAAUCUUUUAGUGGACAAAAAUUGGGUUGUUAAGGUGUCAGAUUUUGGGAUGUCAAGGUUGAAGCAUCAUACUUUUCUUUCCUCCAAGUCGACAGCUGGAACACCGGAGUGGAUGGCACCAGAGGUCCUGCGUAAUGAGCCAGCUAAUGAGAUGUGUGAUGUCUACAGUUUUGGAGUAAUCCUGUGGGAAUUAGCAACGUUGCGUGUACCUUGGAGUGGGCUGAAUCCAAUGCAAGUCGUCGGAGCAGUUGGGUUCCAGAACAAACGACUAGACAUUCCCAAAGAGGUCGACCCACUGGUUGCUAGCAUAAUAUCUUCAUGUUGGGACAACGACCCAAGCAAACGACCAUCGUUCUCCCAGCUCUUGUCACCGCUAAAGAAAUUACAGCGGCUACUUGUUACAGAAAGCCUCUGA